rnacentral:rRNA from 1 species
CCUACGGGUGGCUGCAGUGAGGAAUAUUGGUCAAUGGGCGGGAGCCUGAACCAGCCAAGUCGCGUGAGGGAAGACGGUCCUAGGGAUUGUAAACCUCUUUAGGCGGGGAGCAAUGCCGGGCACGCGAGCCCGGAGGGAGAGUACCCGCAGAAUAAGCAUCGGCUAACCCCGUGCCAGCGGCCGCGGUAAUACGGAGGAUGCGAGCGUUAUCCGGAGUUAUGGGGUUAAAAGGGGCCGUAGGCGGAUUUUUAAGUCAGCGGUAAAAUGUCCGGGCUCAAACCGGGCCGGCCGUUGAAACUGGGGAUCUUGAGUGGGCGAGAAGUAGGCGGAAUUCGUGGUGUAGCGGUGAAAUGCAUAGAUAUCACGCAGAACUCCGAUUGCGAAGGCAGCAUACCGGCGCCCGACUGACGCUGAGGCACGAAAGCGUGGGGAUCGAACAGGAUUAGAUACCCUUGUAGUC